CUGCCCCUCACUUCCUCUGCACCUCCAGCAGGAUUCCAAAGUGGCGCAUGGAAGCCCGCCACUGUGAAAUCUCUGCUGGCGCGUGGGAAUCUGUCUCCUUCACAGCUGGUGAAAAAGUUGAUGUCACCAGUUAAACUCUCUCCAGCACCGCAGCUCACCUCACCCCGACCUUCAAAACCCCGGCAGCUUUUCCCUUCUGACUCUGCUGAGAUUGAUGAUGAGGAAAUGGUAUCUGCUGCAGCGCAGUGUGAGGCACAGCUGAAUACAGGUGUGGCAUAUGACACAAAUGCAAAUAUGAUGUGAAUGUUUAGCGACAACAGUAAG